rnacentral:rRNA from 1 species
UGGGGAAUUUUGGACAAUGGGGGAAACCCUGAUCCAGCCAUCCCGCGUGUGCGAUGAAGGCCUUCGGGUUGUAAAGCACUUUUGGCAGGAAAGAAACGUCGCGGGUUAAUACCCCGCGGAACUGACGGUACCUGCAGAAUAAGCACCGGCUAACUACGUGCCAGCAGCCGCGGUAAUACGUAGGGUGCAAGCGUUAAUCGGAAUUACUGGGCGUAAAGCGUGCGCAGGCGGUUCGGAAAGAAAGAUGUGAAAUCCCAGAGCUUAACUUUGGAACUGCAUUUUUUAACUACCGGGCUAGAGUGUGUCAGAGGGAGGUGGAAUUCCGCGUGUAGCAGUGAAAUGCGUAGAUAUGCGGAGGAACACCGAUGGCGAAGGCAGCCUCCUGGGAUAACACUGACGCUCAUGCACGAAAGCGUGGGGGAGCAAACAGGAUUAGAUACCCUGGUAGUCCACGCCCUAAACGAUGUCAACUAGCUGUU